rnacentral:rRNA from 1 species
GAUGAACGCUAGCGGCAGGCCUAACACAUGCAAGUCGAGCGGGAUCCACCUUCGGGGGGUGAGAGCGGCGCACGGGGGCGUAACGCGUAUGCAACCUACCUCUUGCUACGGGAUAGCUCAGGGAAACUUGGAUUAACACCGUAUCGUAUGCGGUCUCCGCAUGGGGGUUGUAUUAUAGGCUACGGCAAAAGAUGGGCAUGCGUCCUAUUAGCUAGAUGGUAAGGUAACGGCUUACCAUGGCUACUAUAGGCAGGGGCCGUGAGAGGGGAAUCCCCCACACUGGUACUGGGACACGGACCAGACUCCUACGGGAGGCAGCAGUGAGGAAUGUUGGACAAGGGGCGGAAGCCUGAGCCAGCCAUGCCGCGUGCAGGAAGACGGCCCUAUGGGUUGUAAACUGCUUUUGUACGUGAAGAAACACCCCCUCGUGAGGGGGCUUGACGGUACCGUAAGAAUAAGGAUCGGCUAACUCCGUGCCAGCCGCCGCGGUAAAAC